CUUUUUGACGACGAUUAAUGUACCCUAGCCCCUUUUUAUACAAAAAUGGGUGUUACCAAAACUCAAAAUAGCAACAAAGGUUGGAGUAAACCAAGAAACAACUUAAAAUAGAACAUCUUCCAAAUUACUAUAUUUAUCCUUAGGAGAAAGAAAGCAACAAUAUGUUCCAUAGAGUAGGUACAUUAAUCAGGCAUUUCACUACACAUAUAGUAUGCAAAGCCAAUUUUAUCCUAUUUGAUUUCUCUAGCAAAUGAUAACACAAAUGAGGAAAAAUAUAACUUUAAACAGAACAUUGACACUAUGUUGAAUACAAGCAGAUGUAAAGCUCCCAACCUAAUAGACGUUAAAGUAAAUCGUAAAGAGGAAGGAACAACACAACUACUAUAAACCUAUUUCGAAGGAAAAGAAAAAUUAGCACACCACUGAAUUUUACUUCUAUACAAAAAAUAAACACUAAAUUAGAAUGAACAGCUCCAUAAAACAGUCUUAAACAUACACCGAUUGACGCGUUCAACCAUGAAUCACAAACAUCAAGCAACCGACGAAAUGAACGAAACUAUUGCAAAUUUUGUUACACACAAGUCCUAUGGCAUGUAAGCCUUCCUACAACAAAUAAUUCCCAGCACUUCUAUCAUUACUAACGACAAAGAUAUAAGGCUAAUACGCUAAAAAAAUUAAUGAGAAGAAGAAAAAAUACUGAAAGCAAAAGAGCCAAAAUACCUGUUUCAGGGCAACAAAACAGGACUUUAGGCUUCUGCCGGAGUAACAACCACCACCAAAAAAUAUUGUCGUCAACUCGAGAACUUCGAUUAGCCAGCGAAUUUCAUGAAAAAGGAAAAUUUUUACUAAAAUUUUUACUCUUUUUGAUCAAAGCUUUUUCCAAACCGUGAGACUUGUCCUCAAUUUGCUCCACAAUGAGCUAUUUAUAGAAAAUAAAAUGGAAGAAAUUUUUAGCUUUCACCGAUGUGGGACAAAGGAUUUUCAAGGGUAAUUUGGUGAAUUUUAAUGGGGUAAAUUUGAAUUUGGCAUGUGGAUAAGGUUUUGUACCUCAUUCUAGUACUGAUUUUUGGAACUUUCUGAAGAAAAUUUAAUGGGUUUAAUCAAUGGAAAUUGGGAAAAAGGAAUAAUCCCCAAGAACCAAUAGAAUUAGCAUAAAUGUGUACGAAUUCAUACCAAUUUCCCCCCAAAUUCAUGGAUUUGAAUGUUAGACGAGCCAGCUAAGUAAUUUGUAGAAGAUUCUCGGCAUCUUCCUUAUACAGAUCCGCGUGGGAGGGCACGUGAUGCAUACGAGAAACGAGUUGAGGUCAGGUCGAUUGUGGGUCGAGGUGUGGCUGAAGUUGUUGGAGUUGUUAUCAUCCAUAUUGAAGGUGUUUGCUGAUAGAAUUGUUGUUUAUUGAAAUUGAAGAAGAAAAACAAUGGGCUGGGUCUUGGGAUUUUGGGCUGCUGGUUCAGUUGAUUGGAGUGAUUGGGCUAGAGUAUUAUUGGGCCUGGGGCAGGUCAGCCAUGACAUGGGCUGUUUGUUGUUAUUGUUUUGCGGGCAAAAUUCAGAAAUAAUAUACUUAACUCUUUAAUUAUGAGAUUCAUAGCAACACUUUCAUAAUUGCAUAUUAUAGCAACUUUUGAUAUGUAUUUUUGUAAAGUGUUGCUAUAAAAAUACAAAUACAAUUGUUUUUACUGCAUUAAUUGUCUGAUCUAAAUAUGGUAAUAAUUCCAUAAAUUAACAAUUAAAGAUUACAAUCCCAUUAAAAGCUCACUAAUCACCCUUUUUUCGUUACCUUCAAACAACCCUAUUCAAAUGCAAAAAAAAUAAAAAAUUGUAUUAUCCACUCGCUAUAUGCGUGAUUCUUCUUCUUAAAAAAAAAAAAAAUUCAAUUCAAUUUUCCAGUCGCUAAACGCAUGAUCCUUCAAAAAAAAAAUCAAUUCAAAUUCGUUGUAAUUGAACAAUCAAAUUCAAUUGUACUUGUUGAUGUUCAAAAAAAAAUUUGUAAAGUUCAACUAUUAACAUUACCUUGUUCUCGAUAACACUUUGGAAUUCAAUUAUCUUCUACGAAUUAGUGCUUAAGUGUUGUUUUAGGUAUUACCGUAUUUUUUUUAGUAUAUUUUGUUUUUACCGAUUGUUUUUUUCAAUUACUCAAUUUGUGAUGCAUCGUAGAUUUAUUUACUGAUGCUCCUAUCUAGUUUUUUGUUGUCACCGUUAAAUUUUGUAUGAAUAAUUUCUAAACGAAUUUCGAGUUAUAAGCAAUGAAGGAGUAAAUUCAACAUAUAUAACAAAAACCUUCAGAAUUCAACUAUUUGUUGCCAAAUUUCAGUUUAGAAAUUGUUUCAGGUAUUGAAAUUUCACUGUUUGAUUAUUUAUUUGAUGAUCGUUUGUUGUUAUUUUGAUCGGUUUAACAAUUGAACAAAUUGUGAAGCUUUGUAGAAUUUCGAUUAUGAACAUAAUUUAAACAAAUUUUGAUUUGAAUUUUAUUCAAUUAUUUUCUGAAAUCCUAGAUCAAUGAAUGAUCGAAUUCAGCUGUUGAAUGUGAUGAAAUUCUAUUGACACAUCAAAAUACAAAUUAAGUAUGCUCCCAGAUGUACUUUUUUGUGUUUAAUGUUAAAAUUACAUAUGUAUUUUUGCUAUGCUUAGUGUUAACACUACAUAUGUAUUUUUGGUUUGUUUGUCGGAAUUUCAGAAUAUAACUGUACAUGUGAAAAUAUAUGUUAUACGUGUUUUACUUCUAUUCGAUUUAGUAGUUUCUGUAUUUGGUUGAAAACUUUUGUUGUGUUUAUAUUUUACUUUAAACAAAUUUAUUUUAAUGUAUUUUUUGAACAAAUUGUGAAGCUUUGUAGAAUUUCAAUUAUGAACAUAAUUUAAACAAAUUUCUAUUUGAAUUUUAUUCAAUUAUUUUCUAAAAUCCUAGAUCAAUGAAUGAUCAAAUUCAGUUGUUGAAUGUGAUGAAAUUCUAUUGACCCAUAUCAAAAUACAAAUUAGGUAUGCUCCCAGAUGAAUGAGACGUCUAUAACAAUUAUACUGCCACCAAAGUACAAACGCCCUCCUGGAAGACUUCCUGCAAAGAAGGAUCGUGAAAAAUCGGGUCGAGAUAUGUUUGAAAAGAACAACAUCAACUCAUGCAUUGGAUGUGGGGCUAAGGGUCACAACAGACAUAUGUGGGGCUAAGGGUCACAACAGACAUUCUUGUAGAAAAUAUCAUAAAUGAUACAUUUUUUUUUCUGUAUUAUUUUUUAAUACUUUCUUCUGCACUUUUUAUAAUAAUGAACUCAUUUUUAUGGUUCUAAACAUUUAUUUAGCAUUUGCGAUCUAAGCACUGUUUAAUAUGAAUGUUGCAUUUGUAUAUAAUGCAAAAUCUGAACACUGCUUAUGUAUUUUGAAUCUACAUAGCAUAUGUAUUUUGAACACUGUAUCUGUAUUUUUAGUACAAAUUUAGUAACUUUGGUUAACCUCAUAUGAAUGUUAGCUUUAGAAUGAAGAAAAAUUAAAAUAAAUAUGAUGUAUAUUGCAUACGUAUUUUUAAUGCAGUUUCAUAUGAUUGUAAUAAAAUUUUAAAAUAAAUUAAUUUCAUGCAUUUUUCUAAAUUAGUUAGUUUGAAUCACCUCAUAAUUAUUUUGUAACUAUUGAACAAAGGAUAAAUACAUAUGAUAUAUUCUGCAUAUGUAUUUAUUUAAUGUCAAAUCUGAACACUGUAUAUGUAUUUUUGAUCUCUAAAUCUCACAACAAAAAAAAUAAAACUGCAUAAAAUACUUAAAUGAAUUUCUUUCAUUCAAUUCACAAACUUAAAGUUGAAUUCAUCUCAUAUGUAUUUUGAAAGUAAAUGAACACAAAUUAGAAUAUAUAUGAAGGUAAGUGCAUAUGUAUUUGUAUUGAAAAUUUCAAGACUACAUAUGUAUUUCAGAGGUCAAUCACACUGCAAUCAAUAUUAUUAAACACUGGAGUAAAACACAUAGUACAAAAUUGUUGAAAACAUAUUCAACUUAUACAACAGAAAUUAAUUACUUUCAUUCACUUCAAAAUAAGUAACAUUUAAACACUUCAAAACAUGAAAUAAGUUUGUACCAAAAAAAACAACAUCCAUACACCAGUUUGUCGACUAUCCAAUGUAAUAAAUUCAACAAUCAUCAUAUUUCUAAAACUUCAGUGACACUAGUUAUUCGGUUUUGCCUGCCAGGCCUUAAGGGUGCUUCGACAUCGCUAUGAGCAUUUGCUUCAUGUUUUCCCAUGCCAUAUAUAGUCCCACAAUAGUGCAGCAAUAUGUACGAAGUGUGUUGGGUUUGAACUCAAUCAAAGGAACUCUUUUACCAUAAGAAAGACACUCUGCGUAUGUUACCAUAUACAGACCACAGUCCCUACAAAAAAAAAAUUGAAUAAUAAAAUUUAAUUUCUACAAACGAUAUCGGUAAAUGUAUAUUAAAGUACUUACAAGCUUUCACUUAAUUGUUGGACCAAUUCUUCUGCAAAUAACACAUCAAAAAGAUCUGACAAGUUUUUAUCUUUGUAUAUUAGAUAGUUAUGAAGAUCAAUACCUUUCUUUUCGUAGAAAUUACAAGCUUUAAGGGUGCUUCGACAUCGCUAUGAGCAUUUGCUUCAUGUUUUCCCAUGCCAUAUAUAGUCCCACAAUAGUGCAGCAAUAUGUACGAAGUGUGUUGGGUUUGAACUCAAUCAAAGGAACUCUUUUACCAUAAGAAAGACACUCUGCGUAUGUUACCAUAUACAGACCACAGUCCCUACAAAAAAAAAAUUGAAUAAUAAAAUUUAAUUUCUACAAACGAUAUCGGUAAAUGUAUAUUAAAGUACUUACAAGCUUUCACUUAAUUGUUGGACCAAUUCUUCUGCAAAUAACACAUCAAAAAGAUCUGACAAGUUUUUAUCUUUGUAUAUUAGAUAGUUAUGAAGAUCAAUACCUUUCUUUUCGUAGAAAUUACAAGCUUGGGACACAAUGGGGUAAUCUCAGCUAAUUUUUGUAUCUCAGCCAGAACAACUGCAUAGUGACCAGAGAAUUCAUAUAAAUUAUAUAAGAAUAUGCAUCUCUCGGAGAAUGAUAAAAUUGCGAGAACCCAAUGAUGUUUCUCAAAUUUAACAAAAAAAAAAUCUUGUAAAACUUUAAAAAAAUAACAAAACACAUUAAAACUACACCUUAAACCGUAUAAAUCAACAAAAUACAACCAGCAUAUCAAAAAAUACCUAUAACAUGCAUAUGUAUUUUUAACAGAACAAAUCACCUCACUGCAAUUCCUAAAUACAUAUCAGGAGAAACAUAAAAUAAAUAUUAACUCACUGAAAAAAUACAUAUUACCCCAAUUGAUAAAACUCUACAGAAAUCCCUAAAUAUAUAACAGUAAAUAAAAUACAUAUACAACGAAAAAAUACCUCUUCCUCCAUGUCUUCUUCAGAUUCAUUAGCACAAAGAGUUCUCAACAUCGUCAUCAACAUUGUUUGACUUUUUAAUUUCUUUUGUUUUUCUUUUCUUCUCAUAUUUGUUUUUAAUUUGUUCAUCUUUUGGAGAAAAAACUUUUUUCAACCACUUUUUUCUUCAAAAUAUCAGCUAUCUUCGAAAAAUUCAACCAACAACAACAACAAAUCAACCCAAAAUCAUCUACAAUAUUCAUUCAACUCCGAUUAGCCUCCAUUUAUCGCAACAAAACAAAACUUAGUUCCAAUUCUCAUCCAAAAUUUAAUUUUUUCAACUAUAUCAACUCAUAAAACAUCAAAUUUAACUGAAAAACAAACAAAAUAAAAUUCAGCAAAUUUGAUGACCUUGAUUCUCCAUUAACAACUACAAAAAUCAAAACCUUAAAGAUGAAAUGGAGAAAUUAUUUACAGUACAAAAUAAAAAAAAAUAUGUAUUGAGAAAUUGAUAACAUGCAAUAACUGAAUUAAUUAUUUACCUGAAAUUGUGGAACAAUAAUCGUGGAAAAGACAUUAAGAAGGAAAAAUUUUGAAAGAGAAAAUCUGAUAAGAAGCAUGAAAAAUGGUAAAGUAUAAAGCAAUUAAAGGAAAGAGAAGGUUUUAAGCGUAAAUAAUGGAGCCUGCUUUUAAGAUGCGGUAAUUGUGGUCCCCCACUUAAAAUAAUGCUACAAAUGCUACGCAACGUAAUUAGGAAAAAGUGUUGCUAUUUUUUAUAAUUUAGUACUUAGGUAUGCUAACAUAUGUAUUUUUCCCUUGUUUUGUUGGUCUACUUUUGUGGUCCAAUUUAAAAUAGGAAAAAUUACAGAAACUAGCAUACUUAAGACCUUAAUUACAAUAAAUAGCAACACUUUCUCAAAAUUAUAAGUUAUAGUAAAAGUAAUAAUAUUUUAAUCAUUAUAUUAAAAAGGGUGUGGGUUUCACCCACUUUUUUACCUUUCCCUAUUUUCACUCCGCUUUUUUCAAUUCCCUCCCAUAUUUCACUCUACUUUUUUCAAUUCUCUCCUAUAUUUCACUCCACUUUUUUCAAUUUCCUCUCAUAUUUCACUCCACUUUUUUAAUUCAUUUUUUUUUCAAAAUUGUGCUCCAUCAAAUAAGGUAAGUUGAUAUUUAGAGUAUUUGCAUGUUAUCUUUUCAUAUAAUUUAUAUUUUUUUCUUCAUCUGUUUUCUUCAUUUUUUUUUGGAGAGGGAGGGGGGGAGUAUUUUUUUUAAUUGAAAGAUUGUGAAGCCAGAUUGUAUAUGUAUUUAUGACUAAUGCAUAUAUAUUUUUCCAGAUAUGCAUAUGUAUUUUUGAAUAAUACAUAUGUAUUUUCUAGUUAUUCGCACGUUUUUAUGGGGAUGCAUUCUAUAUUUAUUGAUUUGAUGAUACAAUAUCAACAACGGAUACACAAACAAACACCAAAACAGUCCACAAGUUGGAAGAACCGAGGACCCCUUUGGUGACCACUCUCAGAUUCACAACAACAAUAAUGAAAACACAAUAACAAGAAGAUAUUAAGGUGUUCGACACCUCUAAAAUCAGCGAGCCAACAAACUAGAUUAACAACACAAACACAAGAACAAGAAGAACACAAAGUCUCAAUUUUGGGACACCAAACCCGAGAAUGUACAACAACAAAAAUGAAAUAGAUAGAUAGUUAACUUGACAUACAAAUGUACAAACACUAUGAACCUAAGUGUAUAUUAAACACAAAGACCCAAGAAUUCAUACAAGCAACACCAAGCUCUACAGUGAUCUCAAGGGAACGGGAUUCCCAAGCAACCAACGUUUCAAAACUAGCACUAACACAAGUGAUAUCCACACUUGUUUACAAGGAAUCCACCUUGCAAGACUCUCUCUAUUGAGCUCUCAAAAUAUCAUCAAAGUUGUGAGAAAAUAACCUAACAUGUUCUAUUUAUAGCCUAGGUUACAACUUAAUACAAAAUGACUAGAAUACCCUUAGUGAGCCAUGGCUAAGGGGUGGUCUUGGAGUGUACAUUUGGGGUGGAUUUGGAGUGUUGGGGACUUGUCCUCUACACUUUAAAUCUUGUUCCAUUGGUCGGUCAGCCCACGAGCUCGAGUCUCAAUACUUUGGUCUACAAUCACGAUCGUACUUGUAUCAUCCUCCCCUUCUUGAAGAGGAUUCGACCUCGAAUCCGAACCUUGCAAAACAAUAGAGGAGAUAAAAGAACACAUAUUUCUCAUGACAUGAGGGUUAAUGUUAGCACAAUCAACAAAAGUAUCAAACCACGAGUGCACAUUCUACACAUGCCGUGGGACUCUAAGGAGAAUAGAAUACCCUACCACUCACCAAAAGAAAUAACUUGUCUAUCCAUCUAAGUGUGACAAGAAACAAAACAAAAGAGAUAAAAUGCAAACCUUUAGAGCAACCUCGGGUUCUUUAAUACCAAAAGGUUAGAGUGGGAUCAAGACCUCACCUUCUUCGGGCCAAGCAUCAUCAUGAGGUAUCCUUCUUAUUAAUCCGCAAGAUACAUUAACUUUCCCUUCAUCCAAUACCCUCUUGGCUUCAUCAUCAUCUCCAUCAUCCUUUUGAGGAGUUCUCUCACUAACAUCAAUUUUAGUCACUUUGUCCCCAACAAAGUAAGGAUCACCCUCCACCAAUACAAUGUUUCUUCAGUUUGGGCACUCACUAGCUUUGUGAACCCAACCUUGACAUUUAAAACAAAUGAUAAACUUAGGAUUAGGAGUGGAAGAACUAGUACCUUCAAGCCAUGGGGUCCUUUUGAGUGCUUUAUCAAAUGGUUUCUUCUCUAAGGGCUUGUAGAGCUUGUUCCACCCGAAGUUCUUCUUGUCAAGAUUGUGCCUUUAAACUUCAAUAGCCUAUGCUACAAGUUUCUCAAGUCGGUCAAAUUUAUGGACAACUAGUUGAGAAACAACUUCAUAGAACAAGCCACCCUUGAACCGAGCUAGGCAAUGAUUUGGAGGUUCAACAAUAUUAAGAUGUAGGAUUAAGUUUUGAAGCUCAUCAUAAUACUCCUCCACACUUCUAUCUCCUUUCCUAAAGUUGUAGAGCUUUGUUAGGUGCUCUUGUUUGUACCUUUCUGUGAGAUAUCUCUCCCUCAUAAGGGCUUUCAAUUCAUCCCAAUUUGAAAGGUCAAGAUUGUCAUUCCUUGCCCGUUGCAACCGCUUUGUCUCCCACCAAGUAGAUGCAUAACCUUCAAAUUGAGCAAUGGUAUGUGUGACUUUCUUUUGGAAAAUUAACUCAUUGAUUUAGAAAAUCCGAUUACAUUGUAACUCCCAAUCAAGAUAGAGAGAUGGAUCACUAGUCUUUUUGAAAGAAGGAAGAGUG
rnacentral:lncRNA from 1 species